UGAGCAAACUCAACUGUGGGUGAAAUAACUCUUCAGUACCUUCAUUUUGGCGUUGGUUUCACUUCGAUUGACCUCCUGAAACAGAAAUGGUUUACAGAUCAACAUCUGGUCAGAUCUGACUUUGUCGAAUUAAACCAGGAGCUUGGAGACGAAUUUUUGAAUGAAACCAAUUGGGGGAUGUUUGGUUUAUACCAUGGUGAUAACCGAGAGAGGCAAUUGCUAAGUUGUGAUACUCUCAUACCUUUACUAGAUGCGAACAAUUCCGGAGAAGAAGAAGAAGUGGAAUCGGACGAGGAUUUUAUUUAUGUUGUUGGGAUUCUUAUAUUGAUGGAGUAGAAAAAGUACAGGGACAAAUAAGCCAAGG